rnacentral:rRNA from 1 species
GAUGAACGCUGGCGGCGUGCCUAAUACAUGCAAGUCGAGCGAACGGACGAGAAGCUUGCUUCUCUGAUGUUAGCGGCGGACGGGUGAGUAACACGUGGAUAACCUAGCUAUAAGAAUGGGAUAACUUCGGGAAACCGUAGCUAAUACCGUAUAAUAUUUUGAACCGCAUGGUUCAAAAGUGAAAGACGGUCUUGCUGUCACUUAUAGAUGGAUCCGCGCUGCAUUAGCUAGUUGGUAAGGUAACGGCUUACCAAGGCAACGAUGCAUAGCCGAGCUGAGAGGGUGAUCUGCCACACUGGAACUGAGACACGGUCCAGACUCCUACGGGAGGCAGCAGUAGGGAAUCUUCCGCAAUGGGCGAAAGCCUGACGGAGCAACGCCGCGUGAGGGAUGAAGGUCUUCGGAUCGUAAAACUCUGUUAUUAGGGAAGAAAAUAUGUGUAAGUAUCUGUGCACAUCUUGACGGUACCUAAACAAAAAGCCACGGCUAACUACGUG